UACAGAGGUCCCAAGCGUUGUUCGGAUUCACUGGGCGUAAAGGGUGCGUAGGCGGUCGGGUAAGUCUGAUGUGAAAUCUCACAGCUUAACUGUGAAACUGCAUUGGAUACUAUUCGGCUAGAGAGUUGGAGGGGGGACUGGAAUUCUUGGUGUAGCAGUGAAAUGCGUAGAUAUCAAGAGGAACACCAGUGGCGAAGGCAGCUCGCUGGGACGGUACUGACACUGAGACGCGAAAGCGUGGGGAGCAAACAGG
rnacentral:rRNA from 1 species